UACGGAGGGAUCACAGCGUUAAUCGGAAUUACUGGGCGUAAAGCGUGCGCAGGCGGUUUUGUAAGUCUGACGUGAAAUCCCCGGGCUCAACCUGGGAAUUGCGUUGGAGACUGCAAGGCUAGAAUCUGGCAGAGGGGGGUAGAAUUCCACGUGUAGCAGUGAAAUGCGUAGAGAUGUGGAGGAACACCGAUGGCGAAGGCAGCCCCCUGGGUCAAGAUUGACGCUCAUGCACGAA
rnacentral:rRNA from 1 species